rnacentral:lncRNA from 1 species
GUAUAUGUCCAAGGCGUUCAUGCCAAAAAUUACAAUCAUUGUGAACAUGUGCUGCAUAGGUUUUAUUUAGGAAAGAAGAUAUUUGCAAUAGAUAUAAACCAGCUUGCGCUUGACCAUUAGCUAUGAUCUCCUUAGUCUGUUGGUCCUGCAGAAUACAAUAGGAAAAAAAAAUGAGAUACUAAUGUUAAUAUGUGUGAGUAAGGCAGUGAAAAAGAAUAUUAUACUUGAAUGAUGGUAUGUAGAGAACAUUAAUGAGUAUGAUUUUGGGAUGCAAUAUGACAAAAUCAAAUUUGGUAACAUUUUGCUUACUGCCAUCGGAUAAGUAAACAACAGAAUGUGUGGUAGGUAUAAAAGUAUAUGAGAAUAGAGAUUCAUUAGAACAAAUAUGACUAGAUGCUCCAGUGUCAACUACCUAAGAGCCGAUAUCCGUAUCACUUUUGCUAAAAAAGACCCAGUUGGAUUCAGUACCUGCGAAAUUUGAGUAGUUUGAGAUAUUGGGAUCAACUAUCGUUUGGCCUUCAUGUAUCGGGAUAUUUCCUGCUGAAUGAUGUUUGAUAAUUUUGCUUCAUUAUCUGUCACGUGGUCUGUGUCAUCA